rnacentral:rRNA from 1 species
CAGUAGCCACGGUAAUACGAAGGGGGCUAGCGUUGUUCGGAAUUACUGGGCGUAAAGGGCGCGUAGGCGGCCAUUCAAGUUAGAUGUGAAAGCCCUGGGCUCAACCUAGGAAUUGCAUUUGAUACUGUUUGGCCUGAGUUCGGGAGAGGUGAGUGGAAUUCCCAGUGUAGAGGUGAAAUUCGUAGAUAUUGGGAAGAACACCAGUGGCGAAGGCGGCUCACUGGACCGACACUGACGCUGAGGCGCGAAAGCGUGGGGAGCAAACAGGAUUAGAUACCCCGGUAGUCCCUGUCUCUUAUAC